GUUGAUCUGAAUUGUGCAUUUUCUGCAUGAUUAGCGUUUGGUUUCAGUACCGCACUGUUAUCCUUCGACUGGAGAAACGCUUUGGAAGUUAUUGUGAGCUUCAACCUUGCCAAAUCAGCCACAAUUCCCACACAGAAAAUGUUCGAGUGCACUGUAAUAUUUGAAAACACAUUACAGGAAUCCGAGAGGCUGGAAGUUGCAGAUGAAAGCCUUGUAUGGAGAAAGUUCCAAGAAAGACAAACAAGGACAGCACAAUGGCUCAGUGAAGAGUGGCACAGUGGCUCAGUGAAGAGUGGCACAGUGGCUCAGUGGUUCGUGUUGCUG